rnacentral:pre_miRNA from 14 species
GUCUCGACCACAGUGCACUGGUUCCUAUUGAAAGAUCCCCGAAGAGAGACCCUUUCUAAAGUCUUGGGAAAUCGCGGACCCCAGACACAGAGAGACCA